rnacentral:lncRNA from 1 species
CGACCCCGACCCGAGAUCAUUUCAACGGCCCGGCUCUCCCAUUCCGGAUUGUUCCGCCGCCCCCACACGUCUCGUCUCUCCUCCGUUCCCCUCCGGCCUCUGACCCGUGCAACUGAACCAGCGAUGGCGCGCCGCCUCCUCGCCUUCCUGCUCGCGGCGUCGCUGCUGCUCCCGCUGGCCCGCCCGGAGGACUCCUCCACCUCCUCCACCUCCAACUUGUCCCCGGCCGCCAACACCACCGCGUACGACGAGCUCGGCCUCCGGGGGUUCCCGCGGGGCCUGCUCCCGGCCAACGUGCGGGCCUACACGCUCGACGCCGGCUCCGGGGACUUCGCCGUCCACCUCCGCUCCAGCUGCCGCAUCGUGCUGCCCGCGGGGAGCUACCUCGCCGCCUUCAGCGACCGCCUCACGGGCCGCCUCGACGACCG